UCCGUGCAGCUCUCUUUUCCAUCCGUGCCGCUGCUCCUCAUUUUCUCAAUGGUCCUUGCGUCCUCCCGAGGCCUUGUCACUUUCCUCUGCUGGAUCGGCGUCUCCUUCAUCUUGCUUCAACCUCAAACUUUCUGCGUCACUCCUGCGUGUCAUCUUAUCUGCCCGCGCUGUCCUCUGCUCCGCUCGUCUAUCCGUCACUUUCCCAGGGGUCGGAGGGGGAGACACGGGGGGGAUCUGAGGAAAAGAAGGGAUGCUGGCUGGAGUGAAUCCCAGCAGACACGUGGACAUGCAGACUCCACACAGAAAGGCCUCCGGGUGGAGACUAACUCAGGAUCUUCUUGCUGUGAGGCGACAGUGCUGACCAUCACAACACCGUGCCGCCUCUCUGUGGUAUUCAAUAUUGCUCAUUUGAAUUUUCAAGGUCCCGUCCAGGUACCAGUGAAGAGCAGCCAGAUCCAGGAAGCCACGACGGAGCGAAGUCUCUGUAGGAAUGUUGGCGCAGCAGUCACACACCUCUGGAUGACGGGCAGUCAUUUCAUUGGCGUUUGGUCCAGCAGGUCUGGGCCGGGUGGUGUCCAUCACACGGACCGCUCCUCACUAUUAAAUUCCAACCCAGUGCCUCCUUCUCUGAAGGCAAUGAGAGCGUUCUCUCAUAUGCCCAAACGCUCCAGUAAAGACAAAAAUCUACUACAAACCACACAUACAAAACUGUAGCCAAAUUAAUUGAAGCUACUUGCCGCCAUGAACUUGUCUUGGGGAGAAGGCUGCGGUUGUAACUUUGAAGCCCGUCGAGACUCGCGCGCAGAAAGGGACGAGGACACGCUGAGCGGAGCACGCUCCAGGAGUAACCACAGCGCUCCUCAAUUCAUCAGUUUGGUUUGAAAAAUUGCGUGAGACAGACAAAUGGUGCAACUUUUAAUGACACAAGUUGUUAAAGUACUGGUUAAAGCACUCUUUGGGUCACAACCCUCCCCCAGCGCGCUGCAUCUGGCAGAUCAGAUUGAUCCAUCUCUAAAUUAGCACAUUCAUACUCCCAACGAUACCCUUUUCACAUUGAUAAUCCCUGCAGCUUUUCCUCUUCACACACAGCAAUGAGUUUCUGCAAAGACAAUUGGUACAACAAUUGUUGUUUUUAUCGUCAUUCAUAAUCUUGUUCUGGGGUGCAAUGAAAACCGCAAACUCUUUCAGUUAUAAAGGUAUGAAGAAGAUUAUACUGCUUGCCUUUUCUCUUCCCUGAGAGUGUAUUCUUUUCUGAAUCAACAAUGUGGAACCAAAAAGGUGGCAAUUUUAAGAUUUGGAAGUUGUCAAGGUUGUAUCUACAUCUUCUGACAACCUGCGCAAUUGUGCUUAAAGAUUGGUGAUUUCCUCUUUUCACUGCAUAGUGAAUUUAAACCACACUCACUCUAACUCCACCCUGUAAUCCACAUCUAUUCCUUACACCUGUCAGCUCAACACUGCUCUGAGCCAUUUGAGACACAAUGCAAAAUUAAAGGGAAUGAAAGUACAGCAAACAUUUCUGCUCAAUCAUAAAAAUAUGUCUAGAAGCAUUGAAGAAAUACUGUAGUUUUAUGGUGAAGGUAGUCAAGCGUUUCCCUCGGUCCUUGCUGUGGAGUCUGCAAACACCAACGCUGCACAGAGCAGUGAGGCUUAGUUACGUGCUUGGAAAAGCACAGGAACUGGUGGAUUGGACGAAGGUAAUUAGGUGAAUAAUGACUGCAGGGGAUCGGGGAAUGGAAAUAGGAUACAGCUCACAAGUUUAUUAUAAAGUAAAUUCCCACUGUUUAUCGAGGUGUGGGGGGUGUGUAUUGUUGGAUGAGAUUUAGAGUGAUAUGAACCAACUGUUUUGUAUCCACCAUGAUUUCAGAGCCCCUUCCUCUUCUUUUAACAGCCGUCUCUGUCUUACAUCAUAUUGGCCUCCAUGAAGCCCUACUGUAAGUCUUAUACACUAUGUUCAGCCUAACUGGAACUAUACUUCCUUUGUUUUGUUUUUUAGCAAACCAACUCUUAAAAGUGCUUGGGAUUGCUCCUGUGGGGGAAAUGACCGUAACUUUUCAUGCCUUGUCCAAUCGGUCAGAAUGAUAUCUAAAAUCCUCUCUGCAUAAACUUAACAUUUUUUUU